UACGUAGGGUGCGAGCGUUGUCCGGAUUUAUUGGGCGUAAAGAGCUCGUAGGCGGUUUGUCGCGUCGGCCGUGAAAUCUCCCACGCUUAACGUGGAGCGUGCGGUCGAGUACGGGCAGACUUGAGUUCGGUAGGGGAGACUGGAAUUCCUGGUGUAGCGGUGAAAUGCGCAGAUAUCAGGAGGAACGACCGGUGGCGAAGGCGGGUCUCUGGGCCGAUGACUGACGCUGGAGGCGACGAAAGCCAGGGGAGCGAACGGGA
rnacentral:rRNA from 1 species